rnacentral:lncRNA from 1 species
GGCGUUAGCACAAACUGUCAGAUAUCGCGCUAAGCAGAAGGGCGUAAGCCCUCUACGCCCUUUGCAUAUUAGGCGCGAGCGUAAAUUUUGAUCAAAGCAGAAGGGCGUUAUCGCGAAGCUGACGUCUGCUAGGCCUGUGGAUUUGCACAGGUAGGCUGCAGCAUGGAGCCAACAAGAGAAUUGCUUGUUCAGUGGAAAAAAGAUGGCUCCAAAAAACGUGGUAGUGUAUGGAGAUAGAUUCAAUGUCCCUGUAUUCCAAUAAAAGGGACAAAAGUCUUCAUGCCUUGGAAAGGCAGGAGAUGGGAGGGAGUUGUCCUGUCAGUGGAUGAUGAGUCUGAGGAAAGUGAUGAUGACAGCAUACCAGAUCAACCAAGGCUUGACGUUGGAGAUGUCGGUGUCGGUGUCAGAAUGACAGACCAUGGACCUCUACCAGAUCAACCAAGGCUUGACGUUGGAGAUGUCGGGUCACAAUGACAGACAUGCCUCAUUGAAGUUCAAAUGUGUCAACAUUUCAUAUGUUUACAUGAAGUGUUUAGUACAUGCUCCCAGUGUCUUGUUUCCCUGUGUGAACACCACUUCAAAGAGGACGAACCAUGUGCAAACCACAAUAACUAUGCUCAUCUACUUCAAAUUCCGGAGAGGUUUUCAGAAGAUCAUCCAGCGAUCGACACAGUUCUGGAAUUGAUGACGGUUGUUCCCUUAGCAAUCGAAGUGCAGGAGACAGUUGACAUAGUUUCAAGUUAUCCAAGCAGACAGUGAAGAGAGUGGCUUCUACACAGAGAUAUUGGAGAACGUCCUGAACAAUGUGAGAAUAAGAGAGCCAGGAAACGUAUUGCAGAUCCCAACAGCUGCUACAGUUUCACUUAUUGUCAUACUUUUUUGUAUCGCCUUUGAUAAUGCUGAAAUAUUUUUGAAGUAUUUUCUCUUUUGUUAACUUACUGCACAGUACGGUAACUGCAGAAUACACAAAGUUCUUUUAAGAGCUACCAUGUUGUACUUUCUGCCAUAAACGUGUGCUACAGUUUCACUUAUUGUCAUACUUUUUUUUUAUAUCGCCUUUGAUAAUGCUGAAAUAUUGUUCAAGUAUUUUCUCUUAUGUUAACUUACUGCACAGUACGUUAACUGCAGAAUACACAAAGUUCUUUUAAGAGCUACCAUGUUGUAAUUUCUGCCAUGAACAUGUGCUACAGUUUCACUUAUUGUCAUACAAUUUUGUUUAUUUGCCUUUGAUAAUGCUGAUAUAUUGUUCAAGUAUUUUCUCUUUUGUAAACUUACUGCACAGUUUUUAAAACUAUGCUACAAAAGCUGACUAGAGCUAGAACAGAUUCAACGCAGAAUACAAAACUUUCUUUUGAGAGCUACCAUGUUGUUCUUUCUGCCAUGAGCAUGUGCUACAGAUAAGUUCCAAUUUUUAUAUUUAAUCAUGAUUCAUUAUGAUUGAUCAAUUUUGAAUGAUUGUACAUGGAAUUGUAAAAUGAACUGUACAAAAAGGAUUCCAGUUAUAUUGCAAAGGAAUAAAUUCAGUCAUAACCAUGACAGAAUUGUUCAUCUUAA